AUGCUGUCACUGCAGCACUGUGUGUUUUCUCUACUGGUUCUAUCCAUUCUAACAGGUGUCAGCUGUCAAGAACUCACUCCAGUAAAGACAGACGAGUCCACUUUAGAAGGCAGCACUGUUACUCUGUCCUACAGAUACUCUAAACUGACUGGGAGUAAUUAUUUCUUCUGGUAUCGACAAUAUCCAGGAAAACCACCAGAGUUCAUCAUCUCACACUCUGCAUCAGGAAUUGUUGGAAAUCAGCCAAUCCCUGGACUGACGAUUAAAGUGGAGGACAAACAAAUCAACAUGAACAUCUCCUCUGCUGCAGUGACAGACUCUGCUGUGUACUACUGUGCUGUGAGGCCCACAGUGACAGGAAACACCAAAACUCUGUACAAAAACCUUUGGAGCAAAGACAACACAAUACUCCACAACAUCCACUAGAGGGAGUCACACACUGUUGUCUGCUUUCA